AUCUUAAUGUCUUCUAUUCUCACAAACAAGAAUACAAGAUAAAACUUUAGCCUUGAGAUGAUGGUUUUAAAUGAAUCAAAAUGAACAGCAGUCUCUGGACAGGGUAAACUAAGUGGAAUUUAAUAAAGUUGUUGUUAAUUGACUUCCUGUAGUCUGUCUUUGUUUACUUAUGUGCAACUGGGCAAGAUAGAACAAAUCUUACUUAAGUGACUACUGAUCAUUCACGUGUUCUCAUAUUCUACGUUUGAUGUGAUGAGCAUUACUAGUUUGCUAACAAAUUAAUACUCAAAUUUUUAAUUACUUGGUGACUUCAUUUAACAAUGAUCUAUAGGUCUGUUGAUCUCAUGGUCUUACCAGUGAAUGGUGACAUUGUAUUGUGUCUAAUUGAUAUCCUUGAUCUCUAAGGUAUCACCAUUGUUCACUUCGAAGGUUGGUCCAGGGAACUGUCCAUUCACUGUUAUUGUGUUAUGGGUAUUGCACGACCUCUUCACUGGUGUUGCUUGAAUAUGUUUCACAACUCUAAUCAGUAUCUUCCAGUUUAUGAGAGCCAAAUACAAACCAAAUGAAAAUGAAAAAUUAAAUACUGAGAAAAGAGAGCAUUGUUAGGAUCAAAUUCUUACAACAAACUGGUGUUUGUGAACUUCAGCAUUUGCCAAAGAAAAUGCAUUUGCAUAGAGAACCAAAAGGCUAAUGAACAAGAAAGGGUGGAGCGAUUUAGCAAUGCUGUGGCUGAAUGCUUCCAUGUUGCAAUUCAGAGUUUAUCAGGUAUGGUAGAUAUAUGUUUUAUGCUUUUACUUGGUGAAGAGAAAAGUAUCAAGGCCUUUCUUUUAUACAGGGGAUGAGGUUGGUAGAUUUGAUUUCAGAAUGAUUGUCAGCUUAAAGGGCAGACUUAGUUCAACCCUAUAGGAGCCGCAUCUCUUUUGUUGUGGCUGGAUUAGUUGAUGAAUGGGCUGCUCUCUUCUUUGAAGAGCUUGAUUACAUUAAUGAGGGAGAAAAUGUGACACUUUUUGUAGAGAUUUUGAAGAAAGUAUACUUCAAGGAGGUCACAUAUCUAUGAGAAACAUGUCUUUGUUAGUAUCAUGUACAUCAUGAUACUAAUUGAGAGGCAUCACACAUGGCUUAAUGAUGAGUUAACUACCAAAGUCAAUGAUCUCAUAAACCUUCGUAAAACUCAUUCCAAACUUGAGGCAUAUACAUGUCUGUUAAACUUUCUGAUGUACUUUCUGAUGUAGAGAGGAAGUUCAGUGAAAGUUCUAGCUCUUUGACAUGGUACACGGACAGAGUAAAGGAGCUGGAUUUGAAGUUGGCAUCCUUAGACUUGGUUCGUGAAUUUUUUUUGUAGUAUUAUGACUUGGAUGAUAUAUGAUUCGAUUAGAAUUGUUCAUGGAAGUAUUUAGACUUGUUAA